ensembl:snoRNA SNORD57 small nucleolar RNA, C/D box 57
UGUGAAUGAUGACCAAAUCUUUCCCUGAAAUCUCUGAGGGUAAAAACUGAUUUAAUGAGUCUGAUGC